UACGAAGGGUGCAAACGUUGCUCGGAAUUAUUGGGCGUAAAGCGCACGUAGGCGGCUUUGUAAGUUGGAUGUGAAAUCCCUCGGCUCAACCAAGGAAGUGCAUUCAAAACUGCAAAGCUUGAGUACUUAAGAGGAUCGCGGAAUUCCCGGUGUAGAGGUGAAAUUCGUAGAUAUCUGGAGGAAUACCGGUGGCGAAGGCGGCCCCCUGGACAAAGACUGACGCUCAGGUGCGAAAGCGUGGGGAGCAAACGGG
rnacentral:rRNA from 1 species